GAUGUACGCUGGCGGCGUGUCUAAUACAUGCAAGUCGAGCGAAUGGAUUAAGAGCUUGCUCUUAUGAAGUUAGCGGCUGACGGGUGAGUAACACGUGGGUAACCUGCCCAUAAGACUGGGAUAACUCCGGGAAACCGGGGCUAAUACCGGAUAACAUUUUGAACCGCAUGGUUCGAAAUUGAAAGGCGGCUUCGGCUGUCACUUAUGGAUGGACCAGCGUCGCAUUAGCUAGUUGGUGAGGUAACGGCUCACCAAGGCAACGAUGCGUAGCCGACCUGAGAGGGUGAUCGGCCACACUGGGACUGAGACACGGCCCAGACUCCUACGGGAGGCAGCAGUAGGGAAUCUUCCGCAAUGGACGAAAGUCUGACGGAGCAACGCCGCGUGAGUGAUGAAGGCUUUCGGGUCGUAAAACUCUGUUGUUAGGGAAGAACAAGUGCUAGUUGAAUAAGCUGGCACCUUGACGGUACCUAACCAGAAAGCCACGGCUAACUACGUGCCAGCCGCCGCGGUAA
rnacentral:rRNA from 1 species